UUUUGCUAGAGUUAUUAGCAAAGAGUCGAUCGACAAAACCAGACGUGAUUGUGGCAAGUCUUAUAUACAUAAGACAUAACCUACACAAAACUUACAUAAUCCCUCGUGUCGAAGUUUUCUUGCAAGCCAUAAAUUCAGAGGAAUCUGUGUUGAUCUGUGCUAGUGCCUAGUGAAAACAAUAAUCAACCAAGGACAGAGGUCAGGAGCCCUAUCUUUCUUAGCAGCCUAAGUGCGCAUAAGUGCAUAUACGGGGUGCUCCACGAGAGGCGUAUCACCGAAGUGAUCCCCCAAUCUACAAGGGGUAGAAUUCGAUUCCCCCCUCUUCUGCUCCGAAACGCCGAGCCCCGAAAACCUUUGACUUGGGUCAACAUUAGUAAGGCGUAGCAACCCUUAGGAAGCUCAGCGCGUAAGGCGGCUCCUCGGAACCUUUCACCAGCUCCACUGAGAAGACCAGUUUGUCGAGCACUUUAGUGCUUAUGUAAGCGGCAGAUCGACAUCAAGCCGGAUGUUCCACAUUUUAGCCCAGUGUCCAGAGCUAAAACAUUGGGCGUGAUUUUGACGGACCUGACUACAGAGGAGCCACCGCCAACAGCAGGACAGAUGUCCGGAGUUAUGCUGUGUUAAUUUGCACAUUUUCUGGGACUAAGUUCAAUAUGCCAUUUUAAGGCCAAUUCCCUGGCAGUUACGUAUAUGUAUAUUCAAGCAUCGGGAAUCAUGAGUGUUUGUAGAAAAGAGUGGAUACCAGCACCUACGUCAUCCUUGAGCUCAACGAUUACGAAAGGAGUAAGGGUAUUAAAAUACCAAAACCAAAAGAAAACAGUGAGUUUGUAAACUUAAAAACAUUUAUGCACAGAGUAUAAACGUAACCUGCGUGCUACUAAACAUUUAAUCAUAACCGUAAUGGGUUGAUACCUCUCGCCCCCCUUAAUUAUAUUAACCACAUCUGAUUAUUAGUCCGUAUACUUACUGCCCCCACUAUAUUCAUAUAUACAUUCUUGAAUUCUUAAAUUCUUAUAAGCUAAAAUGAGUAUACAUUUUAAGUGCUAGAUCGCCGUAAUAUGAAUUCCUCUGUAGGUUAAGAAAAUUUCGAAGAUAUUGAAUUAUAAUAAUAGGAAGUCAUGGAAAUAUAUAGAUAGAAGCCUUUGUUUUGAAACGCAGGUUUAAUAUGUUCUAAAUCCUAACGUCCGUUCUCAGACAAGCAAGGUCGACGUGGUAGGAUGAAAACUGCCUGAUUGUUCUAGGGUGUAUACGGUACGAUUUACCAGUAUAGCAUAGGUUGGGAGGGUAGAGAAGAGGGAUUCUCGACGACACCGGAGUUUUCCGUGACUUGAAUAGAGUAGUUGAUAUCAUCAUCCCCCUUUUUCUCAACAACAAAUAAUUAAUCCACUUUCCAUAAAUUCAGUCCUGUUUAACCUGUGUUCUGCUUUUGAUUUUUGAUUCUUUUUUAAAUGUGCACCUAAAACAUUAUGCGAGUGUGUGUCAGUACACAAUACAGGAGAAAGUAGAACGAACCCCGACAAUCCGGCGAGCUUAGCUAGAGCAUAGCUAGAGGUGCACACGAAAUCUCUUUGUACUAGUUUGGGUAAAAAUACAUUUAUCCCACACCUGCACGCUUCAGACCUCCUUAUAAUUUAUUAAUGGAUUCAGCCAUCUCUCGUGACCGGCUGCAAGAACUCUCUUUGGAAUUCAAACUCGAAUUCAGUGCACUCUCUCGAUCGUUCUCUCGCGCAUAUAAAAAGUGCCGCAAAAGUGAACACACAAACGUUUGAACUUUUACAUCUCGUUGAACAAUCGUAUUUAACUGUGAUCGACUAAUACACUCCGCGUCAACAAUCUAGAGCCAAAACAUUGGAAAUAGAAAAAGUGGAUCGUUUGCUAUGGGGAAAUGAGAAUUAUGAAACACAUAGCGAGUCGGUGGCAUUUGGCUCUGCUCCAUUUGGUGGAAGCUUCAGUGCCAACGCACUAUCUACUUUGGAUAGGCUAGAAUCAAUACGCAUGGAUAUUGAGAAGCUGUGCCAAAUGGAUGAGUAAAUCUUGCGCGGACUGCUGGAAUCACUGACGGAGCUGAAAUCGAAUUUUGUUGCGCCACACACCAGCUUAGAGGAGGCGGAUUUUGAGUCCAUGUCGAGUGAAAUACCUUCACGGUUUGACGCUUCCAUAUUAUCAUUGCGGACUAUUCUGCAGCGCGAGCUUGGAAGUCGGUCCAGCUCUAGGAAUUGUUCCACAAUCAACCCGAACUCAAGUGCAUCCCCAAGUGCAUCGGUUACCUCAGCUGGAUCUGCCAAAAUUAAGUGGAAUUUACACGAAGUGCGCCAAUUUCUUCUCAAUGUUCACCGCGAUAAUUGACAAGGAGUCCGAGCUGACCCCUAUCGAAAAGCUGCAGCAUCUACGUUCCUGUUUGAGUGGCGCAGCCCUCAAUACCAUCAGCUGAUUGGAAAUAAAUGAGGCUAAUUAUAUCGUGGCAUUAGAUAUUUUAAAGCGUCGCUUUGAUAAUAAACGUUUUAUUUGCAGGUACACAUCAGAGGGAUAUUUGGGUUGGAGAAGGCUGACGAGUCGGUGGGCAAGCUGAGGGAACUGACUGACAGAGUCACCUCACAUAUUCGUGCAAUGGAAUCGCUGGCUAGUAAGGCAGAAGUAGCAGACUGUAUUCUUGUACAAACAGUACUUCAGAAGCUGGACAAGGCCACUCAGAGCACAAGGCCAAUCAAAGAAAAUCUUUCGUCGCAUCGAGCGCCCCCCUUUCUUGUGUGUUGUGCGAGGGCACGAACCAUAUGAUUGCCAAUUGUCCACGGUUUGCACCUCUGUCUUCAAAUAAUCGUCAGGUGGAAGAAAAGAGGCUCUUAUUAUUCCUCAAUUGCCUACGAAAGGGCCAUCAUGUGAACUAUUGUAAAUCCGGUCCCUGCCGCACUUGCCGAUCGAAUCACCACACGUUUUGCAUUUAAUUCGUCCAACAGAGACAUAUCUAUCUGCUUCUACGAGUAAAGCCUCGCAACAACAACCAAGUCAUACCGCCAUGGUUGUCAUGUCGUCCUCAUUGCCUUAAGCCCUAAUAUCCCAUAGUCCUCCUGAUUCUGUGCUGUUAGCCACCGUCGUCGUUCUCGCACUUUUGGACUGGGGAUCGCAAUUACAUUUCAUAACUAGUCGUCUAUCUAAUCAGCUGAAACUUCUUAAAACCAAAUCGUUUACCGCGGUCUCUGGCAUAGGAGCUAGCUUCUCAACUGAAGGUAUCUCGGUGGAUCCAGCUUGCUGACCCUUCGUUCCAUAAUCCGCAACGGAUUGACCUGCUCAUCGGAGCUGAACUGUUCUUCGAGUUGCUGUGUGUGGGACCAAUUCAGCUGGCGCCUGGACUGGAUGGACGCUAUGGAUGGAUCAUAUAUGUUGGCGGGCAAUCGUCCCUCUACCUAUUGUCGUUUAUCGCCGCACAGUCUUUGGCUGCCUUGCACUCGGGCGUGCAUUUCGCCAACAACACAUCUUCGUUUAGUACAACCCAAUCUUCGGAUGACACCAAUCACAGCACUCGGCUCGAUGAGUUGAUUCAUCAAUUUUGGGAAGUGGAGCACACCUUUGGGCCGAUCGCUAGGGCUGCAAAGGAGGAGCAGCAUUGAGAGGAGCAUUUCGUUACUAACACUCGUCUGGUGGAGGGCACUCGGCCCCCAUUCUCUCGUCGUUUAUCGUCUGAGCGUGACAACAUCUCGCUUUUGUUAAAGCACAUUAACUCAUUCGGUGUCAAGAUGCGCCUUUUUGGAAACGCUCAGAAGCUCAACAGUGGUACGAAAUCACCGCAUCUCUCGUCUAAAAACCUAUACAAAGGAUCAAAAUUGCUACGUCGAAUCGUUCAACUCGCCCACCUUCACCCUGAGUACCGUGCAGUGCGAAAGAAAUUUGCUUUGCGGAAAUUUGUUAUCUGCUGUAGAUCCAGACCAUUCUACUAUAAGCCAGAAGGGCGCAGUCGAUCGCUUAUAAAGUGCUACAUCAGCGUCUUCAUCUGUUUUGCAACAAAGGCCGUCUGGUUGGAACUCGUGAAGGACCUAACAACUGCUGCGUUCUUGGGGGCCCUCAAACGCUUCGUUGCCACUCGCGGCAUUCCCCGAUGCAUUUGUUCGGGCAAUGACACAAACUUUGUGGACGCAAGGAACGAGUUAGAGGAUCUUCGGCAGCUGUUUUUGAGCGAGAAACAUCGUGCUGAAGUUCAUAGUCACUGCAUCAACCACGGCUUCGAUUGGAGAUUUAUACCACCUCGCUCGCCCCAUUUCGGGGGCUUAUGGGAGGCAGCAGUGAAGAUGGCCAAGAAGCAUUUUUAUCGCUCCGUUGGAUCUUCACUCUUUACUUUUGAUGAGCUGCGGACCUUGGACUGCCAAAUCCAGGCUGUAAUCAACUCUCGACCUCUUAUCGCUAUUUCAGAAAAUCCUCAAGAUCUUGGCGUCCUCACACCAGGACAUUUUGUAAUUGGUCGUCCGCUGAUGGAGUUCGCCGAGCCAUACGUAACGGGUCAAUAGAUUGGAUUGCUGGCAACGAAUCACCUGUGCCCAGCGGAUCUUUCAGAAGCGUUGGAGUGAGGAGUACUUGACUCUGCUUGUACUCUUAUUAUUGUAAAGUUGCUCUCUUUUUCUCUCUCUCUCUCUCUCUCUCUCUCUCUCUCUCUGCACGCCCUUUCACUCGCACUUAUUGACAGCAUUGUAACGUUUCCCAUUAAGAAGCCGACGGGCCCUCCUUUAUAGUUGCUUCAUGCAAACGACGUAAAAAGACGACGUAGACGAAAAAAGCUAACGGACCUCGCUUAGAACUGUAUGCAGCCGGUCUCGACAGUGCGUUGCGCAGGCUGAAGCAGACGGUGAAAGAGAAAACGAAAACGACUAGCUGGCCGCUAGCACUGGCACGGUCGGCCACAACGACUUUUGGUUCGCUACUUUUCUAAGCAAAUCCUGAGUUAUAUGAUUAAAAUUCAAAUAAUUAAAUGUUUAAACAUUUUAA